UCUUGUCUCCUCUUGAUCGU
rnacentral:snRNA from 1 species